rnacentral:rRNA from 1 species
CCUACGGGUGGCAGCAGUGAGGAAUAUUGGUCAAUGGGCGCAAGCCUGAACCAGCCAAGUCGCGUGAGGGAAGACUGCCCUAUGGGUUGUAAACCUCGUUUGUAAGGGAAGAAUAAUGACUACGUGUAGUCAGAUGCCCGUACCUUAUGAAUAAGCAUCGGCUAACUCCGUGCCAGCAGCCGCGGUAAUACGGAGGAUGCGAGGGUUAUCCGGAUUUAUUGGGUGUAACGGGUGCGUAGGCGGUAUUUUAAGUUAGUGGUAAAGCGUCGGGGACUCACCUUGAUUGGCCAUUAAAACUGGAGUACUAGAGUACAGACGAGGUAGGCGGAAUAAGUUAAGUAGCGGUGAAAUGCUUAGAUAUAACUUAGAACCCCGAUAGCGAAGGCAGCUUACUAGACUGUUACUGACGUUGAAGCACGAGAGCGUGGGUAGCGAACAGGAUUAGAUACCCUUGUAGUC